rnacentral:rRNA from 1 species
GACGAACGCUGGCGGCGUGCUUAACACAUGCAAGUCGAACGGAAAGGCCCUGCUUUUGCGCGUUUCUCGAGUGGCGAACGGGUGAGUAUCACGUGAGUAACCUCCCCUUGACUUUGUGAUAACUUCAGGAGACUGCGGCGCAUACCCCGUAGAAGCUCCCGCUGCGUGGUGGUGGUUGGAGAGUUUCGGCGGUUGGGGAUGGACUCGCGGCUUAUCAGCUUGAUGGUGGGGUAGUGGCUGACCAAGGCUUUGACGGAUAGCCGGCCUGAGAGGGUUAACGGCCACCUUGGGACUGAGAUACGGCCCAGACGGGUACGGGAGGCAGCAGUGGGGAAUAUUGCAGAAUGGGCGGGAGCGAGAUGCAGCAACGCCGCGUGCGGGAUGACGGCCUUCGGGUUGUAAACCAAUUUGGCAUGUGACGUAGCGUGAGUGACGGUAAUGGGUAAAGAAGCACCGGCUAACUACGUG